rnacentral:rRNA from 1 species
UACGAAGGGGGCUAGCGUUGCUCGGAAUUACUGGGCGUAAAGGGCGCGUAGGCGGACAUUUAAGUCAGGGGUGAAAUCCCAGAGCUCAACUCUGGAACUGCCUUUGAUACUGGGUGUCUUGAGUGUGAGAGAGGUAUGUGGAACUCCGAGUGUAGAGGUGAAAUUCGUAGAUAUUCGGAAGGACACCAGUGGCGAAGGCGACAUACUGGCUCAUUACUGACGCUGAGGCGCGAAAGCGUGGGGAGCAAACAGG